CGGGGCCCGGCUGCAAGGCGCCGCUCUGCGCCUGCGCGCGGUUCCCAUGGCGACGGCGCCGCCAGCCCGCGAUGCCCCCGGCUCGCCCCUAAGCCCGGUCCCCCGCGCGGCGUCCGCGGCCCCCUCUCUCCUCCUCCUCCUCCUCCUUUGUUGUCCGCACCUCGGGGCGAGCUGCCGACGGGGCUUUCACGGUAGCUGCUCGGCACUGGAGCCACGACCAAGCCCCCGGGGCAGAAGCCUGUCCCCAGCCCCGCCGCCGCGCUUUUCUGAUUUGAGCGCAGACGGGAAGGAAAGGUACAGACUGGGCCCUAACAUUUGCUGUCUUCCGAAGUACAGUACUGAGUUUGGGAGGAACAGAAAAACCCUGUAAUUCUCAGGUUUCUUAGAUGAAGAUAAGGCGUCGCCCUGGCAUUUCUAAUGUUUUCGCUGGUGGCGGUAUCCUACAGCCGUAGCUUUCCAGCCACCCUAUAGUUUGACAUUGGCCAUUUUAGUCAUGAACCUACAGAUAAAAUGGCAAAAAUAAACACACGUAGAGCGAUUAUAAAAGUGACUGA
rnacentral:lncRNA from 1 species